AUCUCCAAUGGUGAUGGACAGGUUGACAGACGAGAUCAGACAAGAGUCCCCAUGGACUGUGAUGUUUACUGAUGACAUUGUGAUCUGUAGUGAGAGUAGGGAGCAGGCUGAGGAGACCCUGGAGAGGUGGAGAUAUGAGAGGAGAGGAUUGAAGGUCAGUAGGACCACCAAGACAGAAUACAUGUGUGUGAAUGAGAGGGAGGUCAGUGGAAUGGUGAGGAUGAGGGGAGUAGAGUUGGCGAAGGUGAAGGAGUUUGAAUACUUGGGAUCAACAGUACAGACUAACGGGGAGUGUGGAAGAGAAGUGAAGAAGAGAGUGCAGGUAGGGUGGAAUGGGUGGAGAAGAGUGUCAGGAGUGAUUUGUGACAGACGGGUAUCAGCAAGAGUGAAAGGGAAGGUCUACAGGACGGUAGUGAGACCAGCUGUGUUAUAUGGGCUGGGGACGGUGGCACAGGAGACAAAGCUGGAGGUGGCAGAGUUAAAGAUGCUAAGAUGUGCAUUGGGUGUGACGAGGAUGGACAGGAUUAGAAAUGAGGACAUCAGAGGGUCAGCUCAAAGCCAGAGAGGCGAGAUUGCGUUGGUUUGGACCUAUGCUGGGUAUAUUGGGAGAAGUGUGCCAAGGAUAGAGCUGCCAGGGAAGAGGGAAAGAGGAAGGCCUAAGAGAAGGUUUAUGGCUGUGGUGAGAGAGGACAUGCAGGUGAUGGGUGUAACAGAACAAGAUGCAGAGGACAGGAAGAUAUGGAAGAAGAUGAUCUGCUGUGGCAAUCACUAACGGGAGCUGCCGAAAGAAGAAGAAGAAAA